GAGGGAAAAGCCCAGCACCGAACCUCGCACCCUCGGGUGUCGCGGAAUGUGGUGUUCAGGAGGACCGUGCGCGCCUGUCCGGUAUCGUCCAAGUCUCCAUGAAUGGGGCCAGCAACCCAGAGAGGGUGUCAGGCCCGUGGGACGAGCCGCGACCGUAGCAUUGGGUCUCUCCUUAGAGUCGGGUUGCUUGAGAGUGCAGCCCUAAGCGGGAGGUAAACUCCUUCUAAGGCUAAAUACGGCCACGAGACCGAUAGCGAACAAGUACCGCGAGGGAAAGUUGAAAAGAACUUUGAAGAGAGAGUUCAAUAGUGCGUGAAACCGUUCAGGGGGUUAAACGGGUGGGCCCUCGAAGGUCGAAAGGUCCCCACUCCCGUCAUCUGUAGGCCGGCUCGUGCUGCUUCCGAUGCCGCUAGGCACGGAGCUCGGUGCGGUUGGCCGGUCUACGGGGGCCGCAAGUUGGGGACCCAGUAGGACUCCGCAACCGUCUGGGAGGCCGUCAGAAGGGUUCUGGUAGAAAGCCUCCUCGUGGGGUGGACUCYGGGAUUUCCGGGCGGUCCUCUCGGCCGUAAACCUGAAUUCUCCCGCCGGUUCUGGGGACGAGCUCCUUCACGGGGGCUGUCGGUUCUCGGUUCCGUUGUGGGGGAUGCCGCGGAGAGUAGAGUCGGGUCCCACCCGACCCGUCUUGAAACACGGACCAAGGAGUCUAACAUGUGCGCGAGUCGUCGGGUUUCUCUAAACCCGAAGGCGCAAUGAAAGUGAAGACCGUCCUCGUUGGCGUGUCUAGGGGAGAUCCCGUCCUGCUCCGGUAGCUCGGGCGCAUCCCCGGGGCGUCGAAGCCGCGUUGCCGGCUAGACGAACCAAGAGCGUACACGUUGGGACCCGAAAGAUGGUGACCUAUGCCUGGCCAGGACGAAGCCAGGGGAAACCCUGGUGGAGGUCCGCAGCGAUUCUGACGUGCAAAUCGAUCGUCGGAGUUGGGUAUAGGGGCGAAAGACUAAUCGAACCAUCUAGUAGCUGGUUCCCCCCGAAGUUUCCCUCAGGAUAGCUGGUGCUCGCAGAAAG
rnacentral:rRNA from 1 species